GGUUUCUCCCUUCUGACGAACCAUGAUGUCAUUUAUUUGGUGUUGUGGGGAAUCAGGACUGUUACUUUGAAAAAAUCAGAGUGUUUAAAGCAGGCUCACGCUUGAAUACAUUAGCAUGGAAUAAUGAAAUAGGACGUUUGAUUCUAUUUUGUUGGUUUCUAGGAUCGACGUAAUGAUUAAUAGGGAUAGUUGGGGGCAUUAGUAUUCAAUUGUCAGAGGUGAAAUUCUUGGAUUUAUUGAAGACUAACUACUGCGAAAGCAUUUGCCAAGGAUGUUUUCAUUAAUCAAGAACGAAAGUUAGGGGAUCGAAGACGAUCAGAUACCGUCGUAGUCUUAACCAUAAACUAUGCCGACUAGGGAUCGGAUGAUGUUAAUUUUUUAAUGACUCAUUCGGCGCCUUACG
rnacentral:rRNA from 1 species